CCUACGGGAGGCAGCAGUAAGGAAUAUUGGACAAUGGAGGAAAGUCUGAUCCAGCCAUGCCGCGUGCAGGAUGACAGCCCUACGGGUUGUAAACUGCUUUUAUACAGGAAGAAACAUUCCGACGUGUAGGAGCUUGACGGUACUGUAAGAAUAAGGAUCGGCUAACUCCGUGCCAGCAGCCGCGGUAAUACGGAGGAUCCAAGCGUUAUCCGGAAUCAUUGGGUUUAAAGGGUCCGCAGGCUGUUUUUUAAGUCAGAGGUGAAAUCCUACAGCUCAACUGUAGAACUGCCUUUGAUACUGGAAAACUUGAGUUAUUGUGAAGUAGUUAGAAUGUGUGGUGUAGCGGUGAAAUGCAUAGAUAUCACACAGAAUACCGAUUGCGAAGGCAGAUCACUAACAAUAUACUGACGCUCAUGGACGAAAGCGUGGGGAGCGAACAGGAUUAGAUACCCUGGUAGUCCACGCCGUAAACGAUGGAUACUAGCUGUUCGUCUAACAUUGGUUUGGAUGAGUGGCUAAGCGAAAGUGAUAAGUAUCCCACCUGGGGAGUACGGUCGCAAGACUGAAACUCAAAGGAAUUGACGG
rnacentral:rRNA from 1 species